AACGCGAAGAACCUUACCUAGGAUUGAGUGCCGUAAGGAGCGCGGUGACAGGUGAUGCAUGGCCGUCGUCAGCUCGUGUCGUGAGAUGUUUGGUUAAGUCCAUCAACGAGCGCAACCCCUUUACUUAGUUGAAUUUUUCUAAGUAGACUGCCCCGGUAACGGGGAGGAAGGAGGGGAUGAUGUCAGGUCAGUAUUUCCCUUACAUCCUGGGCUAGAAACACGCUACAAUGGCCGGUACAAAGGGUCGCCAAGUCGUGAGACGGAGCAAAUCCCAUCAAAGCCGGUCCCAGUUCGGAUUGCAGGCUGAAACCCGCCUGCAUGAAGCCGGAAUCGCUAGUAACGGUAGGUCAGCACACUACCGUGAAUACGUUCCCGGGCCUUGUACACACCGACUGUAC
rnacentral:rRNA from 1 species